rnacentral:misc_RNA from 1 species
GAUGAAGAACGCAGCGAAAUGCGAUAAGUAGUGUGAAUUGCAGAAUUCAGUGAAUCAUCGAAUCUUUGAACGCACAUUGCGCCCCCUGGUAUUCCGGGGGGCAUGCCUGUCCGAGCGUCAUUGCUGCCCUCAAGCACGGCUUGUGUGUUGGGCCCCCGUCCCCGGUUUCCCCCGGGGACGGGCCCGAAAGGCAGCGGCGGCACCGCGUCCGGUCCUCGAGCGUAUGGGGCUUUGUCACCCGCUCUGUAGGCCCGGCCGGCGCCAGCCGACACCCAACUUUAUUUCUAAGGUUGACCUCGGAUCAGGUAGGGAUACCCGCUGAACUUAAGCAUAUCAAUAAGCGGAGGA